rnacentral:sRNA from 1 species
AACCGUAGCGGUAAAAGCGCGGCAGAGAAUCUUCAGGCUGCGUAACCAGACUGGGCUUCCGGUCUUUGACCACGGAUGUACUGGCACUGACUGUCGAGGCGCAGAGGAGAGGUCGGGUUCGCCCGGCCUUUUUUGCG